rnacentral:lncRNA from 1 species
UUUAUAAUAUUAUUAGUUAAUAAUAUAGUAGGUAGAAGGAAGAAAUUUAAGACUUUUAUGUUAAUAGAGUAUCAUAUUAAUUAAUAUUAUUUUUUAUUAUUAUCACAUAAUACUAAUAAAUUAUUAUAUUAAUAUGGAUUUAAUAGUAAAGUGUAAUCACAUCAAUUCAAUUUUUUUAUCAAAUUCAUGCUUGCACAUAAUAAUUAUAGAUAGAUAGACGGAGCAUAUAGGAAAUGCUAGUCCUUUUACGUCAUGUUUCCUUAAAAAGUAUCCCAUACAUAUUUAAAUAUUAAUUAAGUUGUUUUAAAUAUAUCAAUAUUGAAUAUGUUGCGUGGGCAGAUCCGUUUGAGAUAGGUGUUACAUUCUGAAAGGGGUAUCCACUAGCUUCUGCCAAAUGGGGUCAUGCGGGUCCGCCCAUCCUGGCGUUAUAUAGUAUUGGAUGUGAUACUGUGUAUUUCAUUUAUUUAUGUGGGGUGACUUUGAGGGACUACUAUUAGCCCUUAAGAAAUCUGAAAUUCUUUUCCUUCAGAAGGAAUUGAGGGUCGACCAAGUUCCUGCUGUACUGAUAAAAAAAAAAACAUUUUGUUGAAAAUAAAUGAAAUCUAAGUUUAUAUUUAAAAAAAAAAAAGAUUUGAGUAGUGGGGGUGGGUGAGAUUUCACUUACUAAACUCCAUUCAAUUUGAUUUUAUUAUUAAUAAUUUAAAUCUAUCUAAUUUAUUUAAAUUUAAAUUUAUUUGAAUCCAAAUUUAUUUGGACAUAUAAUCCACAAUAAUCAAAUUCAAAUUAGAAUAAAAAAUCAUUUGAAUUCAUCAUAAUCAGAUUCAAAAUAAUUUAAACCUUAAACUUUAAAUGACAAUUUAAAUUUAAAACUGACAUAAACCGAAAUUGCUUGAAAAUUUUGAAACAGGACUCAACCUGGUCCAAAUAGACCCAAACCCUAACUAAUUUGAUGGACUAAUGUGAAAAGAGUGAUAGAAAAAAGGGAAAGGGAAUUAGGGGAUAUGUAAGGGAAAAAAGGACGGGGUUGCUUAAGAAGAAAGAGAAAUGAGGUGGCGUGCAUGGUUUAGGGAGUAGGCUAAAGGGGAUUCACAUCGGAAAUGAGAGGGGGGUGGAAUCUAGUAGAUGGCCAAGGUGUGGGGGAACACCCAUCGUGCUUUAGGACCAAAGCUUCUUUCCCAUCCUCUAUCCCCUUUUCAUCUCUCUCUCUCUUUGAAAUUGAAA